UCUAAAGAGGGGUCCUGGCAGGCCUGGGCAGCAGCCACACUGACCAAUCUCCAGAAAACCAUUCCAGAAAAACAACAACAAACUUCCAAUGGAGUUCAUCUGUUGUACACUGGAAAGGCAGAAUUCAUAGUUUCCCAGCAAGUCAUAAAAAAGAUGAAACCAGCGUCCCCUGUGGGGCUUUGCAGUUAGACCCAAGGAUGGCUCCAGAGAUGUCUCUGAGGUGGAGGUACACCAGAUACAUUCCAGCCAGGAUGAACUUGCUCUUGUUUUCACCCCAAAAUAAACCCCCUCUUUCUGGCCCAAAUUGAGAGGAUCCACUGGUUUUGAAGCCAUGCAGGACUACACCGCCACCACAUUCAGCCACAAGGAACAUGGCUGUUGGCAGAUCUCCUGACCAGAAUUUGGGAUUUUCCCACAAGAUUCCUAUAUGUUAAACGUGAGCCAGGGUUAACACUUAAAAACAAACAAAAAUCACUA